CCUGGCCCCAAGGGCACUGUUGGCUCAUGGACAGCUUGUUGUCCACCAGGACCUCCAACCCCUUCUCCUCAGAGCUCCUUUGCAGCAGCUCAGCCUCUAGCCUGUUCUGGUGCCUGGGGUUGCUCCUCCCCAGGGCUGCACAGCUCUAGGGUGUAUUGGCCACUCCUUCCAGCUCUAGGGUGUAUUGGCCACUCCUUCCAGCUCUUGGGGGUAUUGGCCACGCCUUCCAGCUUCCUGCCAUCAGUGAGCUUGCUGAGGAGGCACCUCCCCUUUAUCCAAAUCAUUCAUGGAUAAGUCAAACAAUACUGGACCCAGUACUGUAUUGAGCCUCAGGGGACACCAGUAGUGACAGGCCUCCGACUAGACCCUGUGCCAUUGUUUAUGACCCUCUGGGAUCUGCCAGAUUGAUGCCAAUCAAUUCUCAAUCCUUAAUGUUCACUCAUCCAACCCUCACACCCUGAGUUUGCCUGAGAGGAUGUUGUGAGAAACAAAGUUGAGAGCCUUGCUGAAGUCAAAGUAGACAAAGUCCACUGAUCUCCCCUCACCCAUCCAGGUAGUUGGUUCAUCACAGAAGUCAGUCAGUUCUUUUCCGUACUUGACAGAAGAUUUGCACAGGACAAACUAGCUUGACAGAGGACAAGUCAGCCAGCUGUUGAGAAGGAGAAUGAGACUAUGAAACUAAGACCAAGGAUGGACAGGAGGAAGUGGCACUGAGGUGGGGUGACAUU